rnacentral:rRNA from 1 species
UGGAUUAGUGGCGGACGGGUGAGUAACGCGUGAGUAACCUGCCUUACACAAGGGGAUAGCCGUUGGAAACGACGAAUAAUACCCUAUAACAUUAACCUAUCGCAUGAUAGGUUAAUCAAAGAUUUAUCGGUGUAAGAUGGACUCGCGUCUGAUUAGCUAGUUGGUGGGGUAACAGCCUACCAAGGCAACGAUCAGUAGCCGGCUUGAGAGAGUGUACGGCCACAUUGGGACUGAGACACGGCCCAGACUCC